rnacentral:pre_miRNA from 1 species
AGCCUUCUGCAUCUGUGCUGAGAUUUCGUCAUACCAUACUUCAAAGGCUGACCAGACUCCAAAGAUAAGUGAAGCG